CCUACGGGAGGCAGCAGUGGGGAAUAUUGCACAAUGGGGGGAACCCUGAAGCAGCGACGCCGCGUGAGUGAAGAAGUAUUUCGGUAUGUAAAGCUCUAUCAGCAGGGAAGAAAAUGACGGUACCUGACUAAGAAGCCCCGGAUAACUACGUGCCAGCAGCCGAGGUAAUACGUAGGGGGCAAGCGUUAUCCGGAUGUACUGGGUUGAAAGGGAGCGUAAGCGGCAGUGCAAGUCUGAAGUGAAAGCCUGCGGCCCAACUGCGGGACUGCUUGUGAAACUGCCCGGCUAGAGUUGUGGAGAGGUAGGCGGAAUUCGUGGUGUAGCGGUGAAAUGCGUAGAUAUUAGGAAGAACACCAGUGGCGAAGGCGGCUUACUGGACAGUAACUGACGUUGAGGCUCGAAAGCGUGGGGAGCAAACAGGAUUAGAUACCCCUGUAGUC
rnacentral:rRNA from 1 species